GACAGAGGCCACGAACGUUGUUCGGAAUUACUGGGCGUAAAGCGAGUGUAGGCGGUCCGCUAAGUCGGGUGUGAAAGCCCUGGGCUCAACCCAGGAAGUGCACUCGAAACUGGCGGGCUAGAGUACUGGAGAGGUUGGUGGAAUUCUCGGUGUAGAGGUGAAAUUCGUAGAUAUCGAGAGGAACACCUGCGGCGAAGGCGGGUUGCUGGGCUGACACGUGACGCUGGAGGCGCGAAAGCUAGGGGAACGAACGGG
rnacentral:rRNA from 1 species